UCUGUCGGCCACCGUCGAACCCUUUCAUGCUCCCGUUGGUGCGGACGGGAUGUUUGCCGGGGAAGACAGAAGGACGGUCCUUCCAGGUGUCCAGUGUGUUGAGCUCCACGUGCUAGGACUGAGGUAUUAACCGCAAGCUCUUGAAGACCCAACACAGCUUCGUAGAUAGCUGGCGGAGCUUCUACGUUAUGUAGAAAAGAACGGUUAGUUGGUUGUUGAAUGGCUUUCCUUGGAUGGUGCUUUCAAAGGGCUUCGUCUGCACUUCAGUCAGUAGGGGGCGCACUGAUGCUGGGAAUGCCAACAGUAACCAAGAGCAGCACUGGUCUUCCGGUCCCUCAACUCGGGUGGCUAUCCAUCUCCCCGCUCGGUAAUCCCUGCUGUUUCCAGCUUUCAACACCAAGCACACCACCCUGCUGUCGGGAGCGGCACUUAAAACGGAAGAGACCAUGCGUGUCUUGACAAACAUGAUCAGCUACGUGCUGUGGAACAUGAGGCUCAGAUUUUCAUCUAGAGCCGGGAAUUGUGGAAUGGCUGGAAAGACACUCUGGUGAUUGACUGGUGACCAGCUCUGCAGACAAUUUUAUUUGAGGCUCCACGAGAGGAAAGGAAAUGUAAAUCAUUACAAAAGAGACAUUUCUCUUCCUGAAUAUUUACCCUGUUAUUACAUGUACUUACUCAUGCAUGCAUGCAUGUGUGU